rnacentral:lncRNA from 1 species
GAUUUUUGACUUCCAUUGUAAAACUGGUGUUAUAAGCCGUAGAAGUAAAUGCUAUUUUUUCCUAACCCUUCUCACUAAACUGUGUAUGUAUAAAAUAUUAGAUCACAAAGGACAAAAACACUUCUGAAAUUAAAAUAUUGGUCCCUAAAUGAGGUCAGCCCUGUGGCCUAGUGAUUAAGUUGGGUGCACUCUGCUUUGGCAGCCUGAGUUUGGUUCCUGGGUAAGGACCUGUACCACUCCUCAGGGGCCAUGCUGUGGCAGCAGCUCACAUACAAAACAGAGGAAAGAUUGGCACAGAUGUUAGCUCAGGGUGAAUCUUCCUCAGGAAAAAAAAAAAAAAUAUAUAUAUAUAUAUAUAUAUAUAUAUAUAUAAGGCCAGCCCAGUGGUGUAGUGGUUAAUUUCAUGCUCUCUGCUUCAGCAGCCCAGGGUUCAUAGGUUUGGAUCCUGGGCACAGACCUGGCACUACUGGUCAAGCCACACUGUGGCAGCAUCCCACAUAGACUAGAGGAAGGUUGGCACAGAUGUUAGCUCAAUGACAAUCUUCCUCAAGCAAAAAGAGGAACAUUGGCAACAAAUGUUAGCUCGGGGCCAAUCUUCCUCACACACACACACAAAAGAUACUUUCUCCUACAUUUUGUGAUUUUUUGAAAAUUCAGUUUAUAUAACUGUUCUAAUGUAAAUAUUCCCUUUAAAAGCCCUGUGUCUUUAGAUGUUCUUAAAUAUUUAUUCAUCCGAGAGCUUCAGUUCAAGCUGUUAGUGGCUAUUGAUGUUUUGAUUUAGUGCCCUUUGCAAGUCCUUUAAUAGUCCAGCUGCCAUCUUUCUAAACAUUGAUGGUAAGAAGAGUAAUUUACUGAAAAUAACAAGGGUUUUAGAGGAAGACCUGGUUCAAAUCCAAGCUUUGCCACGUAUUAGGAAAUUGCUUAAUGUCUCUGGAAAAUAGAGAUAAUGACUCACAUGUAGUCACGAGGGUGAGGUUCAGCUGCAAGUGAGAGCAGAUGCCCCGGACAUUGGCCUCAACGGUCCAAGCUCGCUGCUUCAGCUCCUGCCUUCUCUUCUGCACCUUGG